rnacentral:rRNA from 1 species
AGAGUUUGAUCCUGGCUCAGAUUGAACGCUGGCGGCAUGCUUUACACAUGCAAGUCGAACGGUAACGCGGGGGCAACCCUGGCGACGAGUGGCGAACGGGUGAGUAAUACAUCGGAACAUGUCCUGGAGUGGGGGAUAGCUCGGCGAAAGCCGGAUUAAUACCGCAUACGCUCUGAGGAGGAAAGCGGGGGACUCGCAAGGGCCUCGCGCUGCAGGAGUGGCCGAUGUCGGAUUAGCUAGUUGGUGAGGUAAAGGCUCACCAAGGCGACGAUCCGUAGCUGGUCUGAGAGGAUGAUCAGCCACACUGGGACUGAGACACGGCCCAGACUCCUACGGGAGGCAGCAGUGGGGAAUUUUGGACAAUGGGGGCAACCCUGAUCCAGCCAUGCCGCGUGAGUGAAGAAGGCCUUCGGGUUGUAAAGCUCUUUCGGACGGAACGAAAUGGUUACAGUGAAUAACUGUGAUUGAUGACGGUACCGUAAGAAGAAGCACCGGCUAACUACGUGCCAGCAGCCGCGGUAAUACGUAGGGUGCGAGCGUUAAUCGGAAUUACUGGGCGUAAAGCGUGCGCAGGCGGUUCGCCAAGUCAGGUGUGAAAUCCCCGGGCUUAACCUGGGAAUUGCGCUUGAAACUAGCGGGCUUGAGUGUGGCAGAGGGGGGUGGAAUUCCACGUGUAGCAGUGAAAUGCGUAGAGAUGUGGAGGAACACCGAUGGCGA